rnacentral:rRNA from 1 species
ACUUUACAUUAAGUACCUAUUUUCUUGAAUUUUUGUAAAAAGUGAGUGGGCGUGUUGGUGUUGAGUUGGGGCGACAAGGAUAUAGUUAAAAACUGUCUGUUGUUUUAUAGUGAGUUAAAUAAUUUAUAAUUAGAUAGUUAGUUUGAUUUAAUGAUCCUUUAUUAAGGAGUAAGAGAUAAAGUU